rnacentral:lncRNA from 1 species
CCGAGUAUAUUGCAUUUGGAAACAAUUACAGUACUUACGAUGGGAAGCAACAUCUAGCAUGAACCUCAACAGAUCAUGAGAGAACUGCAGAGGUUUAGGGUUGUAAGACUUUGAGAUAUGUCCAUUUAGAGUUCCUAAUUAUCCAUGUGAUGUGUUGCGGAUUAGAUCUAUAAAGGCGAUUUUCUUUCUAGCUUCACAACACGUACUAUGUCAUAAAAGACUGCAUCAUUGUUUUCUCUCACAAGAACACGAAUUUAAGACUUUGGACGCCCAUGGCUUAGUCGAGAUUUUGCACCUGACAGGGCCCACCCACAACUUUCUCAAUACGUUGCUUUAGAAUGUUUGAAGGUACGAAGGUGCGUCUGCAAGAUUAGGUUCAACAAUCCUCCUUGAUUGUUUUGAAUUAUUCUUUCAUCUUUACUGCUGUUUAAUUCUGAAGCUGUUGUUGCAUAAAAUGACAAUCGUUGCAAGUUUAUAACGAUGCCAUUAAUUGGUUUAUGCAAUAGCUUUGACCAGCAAGUUCCACCGAAGAGGUGAUAUUCCUAUAGAAUGGAGAGAAUAUUUGCAUGCAAUCUGAUUAUGAUUUUAAGUUGGGGUGUAAUAGUUGUGGAAGAUCCAUGCCAGUGAGAGGAUUAGAUGAUCUCCUAGAUCAGUAAUUCAUUGUGUGGAUUUAUGCAGUGCCAAUUACCUUGGAACUGUCAGAUUGUAACAGAAAUAAAUCAUUUAAAACCUGCAGACUAGUGAUGAAGGAAAGAGUUGCAACAUUGUAGUUCAGCAUCAAAUCUUGACGAUCUGACUGAUGUUUGAAAAGCUAAUCAGAGUUACAGUUAAUGGAUUAUGCUGGUGUAAAUAUUGCAAUGGCAGGUAAUAGUCAAGAAUGAACAAUUUCAAGG